UGGAACAAAUCUAUGUGAUCUGUGUGAAUCUGAGUGAUCAUUCCACGGUUUGUGUGGGUUGUGUCGUUAUUCCGAACAACGACCCGAUAAACAUUGACAAAGUGCUGGAUGACUUCGAAUUCAACGAGGACGUUGGGCGCUACACCUGGAAGGGAACGAUUGGUAAUAACAGAAACAAAGAACGCUAAGUAAAAUCUUCCACUGACACCAGACCGGCAAUUAAACACGGAACGGAAUCUUUGAAUGGAGUAAUGCUUCUAACGGACGAAACCGACCAAAGGGAUUUUCCCGCAAACGAAGAGUAUCAGCGAAUCUACCAGCAUGGAAACGCCCUUUCCCUCGGCCCGGAUCGAUCCGUUUCUGCACGUGCAGCAAACUAUCAUGCGAACGAGUGUGGUCCCA